rnacentral:rRNA from 1 species
GACGAACGCUGGCGGCGUGCUUAACACAUGCAAGUAGAACGGAAAGGCCCUGCUUUUGUGGGGUGCUCGAGUGGCGAACGGGUGAGUAACACGUGAGUAACCUGCCCUUGACUUUGGGAUAACAUCAGGAAACUGGGGCUAAUACAGGAUAGGAGCGCCUACUGCAUGGUGGGGGUUGGAAAGUUUCGGCGGUUGGGGAUGGACUCGCGGCUUAUCAGCUUGUUGGUGGGGUAGUGGCUUACCAAGGCUUUGACGGGUAGCCGGCCUGAGAGGGUGACCGGCCACAUUGGGACUGGGAUACGGCCCAGACUCCUACGGGAGGCAGCAGUGGGGAAUAUUGCACAAUGGGCGGAAGCCUGAUGCAGCAACGCCGCGUGCGGGAUGACGGCCUUCGGGUUGUAAACCGCUUUCGCCUGUGACGAAGCGUGAGUGACGGUAAUGGGUAAAGAAGCACCGGCUAACUACGUG